GCAUCGGUGGUCUAGGGGUAUGAUGCUCGCCUGCCACGCGGGCGACCCGGGUUCAAGUCCCGGUCGAUGCA